rnacentral:misc_RNA from 1 species
AUAACUAAUGCAUUUCAGAGUAAUUUUUCUUCAUCAUGUUGGACCAGCAUAAGUGCAUGCAGAAAAUAAAUACAGUAUUAAGACUAAACAUAUAUAUACUGGACCUUGCAUGUUUAGUGAAUUUUUAUCAGGACCUCUAAUCUAGCUUUAGAAAAUAAUAGAUAGAUCAACUUUUAUAGAUGGUAGUCUAGACCGUUAGGUGCACAAAGAAGGGCCAUUUGUAAACAACUGGGCGUUUUCAAGUAACUAUCUGCAACUUUUAAAGCUAAAGAGAAAAUGAUAACAAUUCAUUGAA